rnacentral:rRNA from 1 species
UACCCAUGUCUUUUGAGUACCUUCGUUUCCUCGGCGGGUCCGCCCGCCGAUUGGACAAACUUAAACCCUUUGUAAUUGAAAUCAGCGUCUGAAAAAACAUAAUAGUUACAACUUUCAACAACGGAUCUCUUGGUUCUGGCAUCGAUGAAGAACGCAGCGAAAUGCGAUAAGUAGUGUGAAUUGCAGAAUUCAGUGAAUCAUCGAAUCUUUGAACGCACAUUGCGCCCCUUGGUAUUCCAUGGGGCAUGCCUGUUCGAGCGUCAUUUGUACCUUCAAGCUCUGCUUGGUGUUGGGUGUUUGUCUCGCCUUUGCGUGUAGACUCGCCUUAAAACAAUUGGCAGCCGGCGUAUUGAUUUCGGAGCGCAGUACAUCUCGCGCUUUGCACUCAUAACGACGACGUCCAAAAAG